CCAAAUCUUAAAAACCGUAAAACAGUUCAGUGUCCCCAUGUUUGAUGUGGAUUUAAAACAAACAACCGUCCAACUUUUAGCUCUCAUCAAAGCAGAAUCCACAAAAAUACACCGUUAAGGAUUUUCAAACUAUAAUAAGUGCGAACCCUGACGAUCUAGACGCUGGUCUCAAAGGAACAUGCCACUUCAUCUACAGUGUCAGGACCUCUGACAUUGUAGCCCACCAGAAAAGUGCUGUGCCUUUGUUUCUAAGAGAAGAUCUCACAAGGUUAUUCAAGAAAUGUCUGGGUACAGAUCCUGAAAAUGGGCAGACCAAAGUGUUAGUUCUGGAGGUCUCUGUUGCAAGCUUGUCAUUGAAGGAGACCAGAGCAGGCUGAUCUCCUAUCGAGCAAAAUUAUACCACUGGAAUUACUUUGAGAGGGGUGGUAAAAGCGUAUAUGGAGCACAAGAGGAUCAAGAGAAGGCAUACAGAACCAGCUGAGGAGAAGGGGUAGCCGGCUUCCGUUACCAGCUAUCAAGCUGACAAAGGUGCGCUCAUUACGCAACAAAACUCAACACUUCUGAAGUUCGAUGGGGAUUACGGACAGACCAGUCUUUUUAGUUUUACUGAGACCUGUCUUUCAGCAGACACAGAUAACCAGUUGGAGGGGUUUACCAUCAUUGGCCUUGACAGAGAUGCGACCAAAACAAGGAAGACGCUUGCGGGCGGUCUCUGCAUGGCUGUAAACAGCAAAUGAGCGACCAACUACACAGUGAGAGAGACGGAGAGCUAUAGACAGUACGAACUCUUAACAGUGUCAUUUAGACCACACUAUCUCCCACUGUUAUUUUGGUUUAUGUACCUGGGCAUGAUUUUAAUCUUGCUGAUGAGUACAUAGUGGACAAUUUUAACAGGGCUGUUAAUAGAAGAGAUGGAACGAUCGAUCGGCUAUGUAUUGGUUUUAAUAAAAAUUUGCGAUUGGUGAUCGGCAGAUAUUUCUUAAAUGUAGCUGAGUUGAUCGCAAGCGCCUAAAGCAGACCUGGGCGUCGUACGCCACAUCCGGCCCACGUGGGGUUCGUGGCAAUUAAAAAUAAAUUCAUAAAACGGAUAGUUCCGGUCCUAAAAUCUGAUUGGCUGAGCCGUGUUCGAAGCCGUUGUAAAAUCCCCGAUAAACUCACACCUAUGACCGCCUCACAUCAUUCCAUAUUAAUACGCCACUGAAUAGAAUAAAUUAAUGUUAUUUUCGCCCUCAUGUUGCCUAGCAACACUGUUAAUCGGAUUACCUUGCGUCGCGGAAGAAUGCUUUAUUGUAAGU